CCUACGGGUGGCAGCAGUGGGGAAUAUUGCACAAUGGGGGAAACCCUGAUGCAGCGACGCCGCGUGAGUGAAGAAGUAUUGCGGUAUGUAAAGCUCUAUCAGCAGGGAAGAAAAUGACGGUACCCGUUUAAGAAGCACCGGCUAACUACGUGCCAACAGCCGUGGUAAUACGUAGGGGGCAAGCGUUAUCCGGAUUUACGGGGUGUAAAGGGAGCGUAGACGGGAGCACAAGUCUGGAGUGAAAUGCCGGGGCGUAACCCCGGAACUGCUUUGGAAACUGUGCAGCUAGAGUGCAGGAGAGGUAAGUGGAAUUCGUGGUGUAGCGGUGAAAUGCGUAGAUAUUGGGAGGAACACCAGUGGCGAAGGCAGCUUACUGGACUGAAACUGACGUUGAGGCUCGAAAGCGUGGGGAGCGAACAGGAUUAGAUACCCCAGUAGUC
rnacentral:rRNA from 1 species